AGGAGGAACAACAAGUGGCGGUGGCCAGCUCUGGAGCCCUGGAGUCAGCCCCCGCAGUAGCUCCAGAGCUCUCCGUCUGCAGGGCCUGGAGGCUCCGGGGCGGG
rfam:Canis lupus familiaris chromosome 32, whole genome shotgun sequence.